CCAGACACAACAAAAAGGGAGGAGGAUUUAAAAACAGAGGAAGAGAUCGGACAGGUCCAGAGUAAAGGAAGGCCAUACAGACGGUUACUGAAAGUCGAGUGGAUUACUGUUCAUCAGGCUGGAGUUCUGAUAUCAGAGAAUGAGACUGUUGUCUAGGUUACGGGCCCCACCCUGUCUAAUGUAGCACUUUGUUGCCAUGGAAACUGAUGAGCUUCACGGGUAUUUCCCAUCUGUGUUGCUAUUUGCCUUCCAGAAGACGCUUCGGGAAGGCGUCAUGGUGAGAUGGUCAAGAGAGCAUCGGCGGCGUUACUCCAGCAACAUAUAACUGCACUUUGGAUUUCUACACUGUUCAUCAGAACGAGAGCUUCUUUGUCAGCAACAUCUUCAUCAGCCUUCAAACCUGCUGCUCAGCAUACACUGCUUUGAGUGUGAUAUGCUAUAGCGCUAAGCAUUCCCCAGGGAGCACAAUGCUCUGAGAGAUGAUAGAUGCCAAGAAAAUCAUCUAUACUUUGCUCCUUAAUUAUACAUGCCUUCAGGAAGAUUGCCUAAAGUAUUUUUUUUUGCAGCUGUUUUGAAAGUGUUGCAGCCACUUACAAGUGAAAGCCUGGAAAUUAUGGAGGCAAAACUGUAGCAAAUACUGUCUUACUGGCAUUAAAAAUAAAGUCUGUUGGUCUAGUGAUAAAUAAAUCUUUGGCAUGUGCAUAUAUAUAAAUAUAUAUUCUUAAUUGCCUUUUUAGUGCUCCACUCAGGCUGGAUUGAUGCAGUUGUCAACAUGCAACCCAUGCAAUGUGAACAACAUC